GGUCUGGUGGUCUAGUGGUAUGAUUCUCGCUUAGGGACAACCCGAAGCUUGCUUGCGAGAGGUCCCGGGUUCAAUCCCCGGCCAGACCC
rnacentral:tRNA from 1 species